rnacentral:piRNA from 1 species
UCGAAUUUCUAAAAUUGCCAA